UACAGAGGGGGCAAGCGUUGUUCGGAAUUACUGGGCGUAAAGCGUGCGCAGGCGGUUUUUCAAGACAGAUGUGAAAUCCCCGGGCUUAACCUGGGAAUUGCAUUUGUGACUGCACGGCUAGAGUGUGGUAGAGGGGGAUGGAAUUCCGCGUGUAGCAGUGAAAUGCGUAGAUAUGCGGAGGAACACCGAUGGCGAAGGCAAUCCCCUGGGCCUGCACUGACACUCAUGCACGAAAGCGUGGGGAGCAAACAGG
rnacentral:rRNA from 1 species